GACGAACGCUGGCGGCGUGCUUAACACAUGCAAGUCGAACGGAAAGGCCUCUUUCGGGGGGUACUCGAGUGGCGAACGGGUGAGUAACACGUGAGUAACCUGCCCUUGACUUUGGGAUAACUUCAGGAAACUGGGUCUAAUACCGGAUAGGAGCUCCUGCUGCAUGGUGGGGGUUGGAGAGUUUCGGCGGUUGGGGAUGGACUCGCGGCUUAUCAGCUUGUUGGUGGGGUAGUGGCUUACCAAGGCUUUGACGGGUAGCCGGCCUGAGAGGGUGACCGGCCACAUUGGGACUGAGAUACGGCCCAGACUCCUACGGGAGGCAGCAGUGGGGAAUAUUGCACAAUGGGUGGAAGCCUGAUGCAGCAACGCCGUGUGCGGGAUGACGGCCUUCGGGUUGUAAACCGCUUUCGCUCAUGACGAAGCUUUGUGUGACGGUAGUGGGUAAAGAAGCACCGGCUAACUACGUG
rnacentral:rRNA from 1 species